GUCCUUAUCAGGAUAUAUGAUAAAAUUACAACGAUACAAAGAAAAUUAACAUGCCUCCUGUACAAGGAUAACAUGUACAAUUCGAGAACUAAAACAAUAGGAG